CCGAGUCUUAAUUGGGCGUUAAGUUGCAGGGUAUAGACCCGAAACCCGGUGAUCUAGCCAUGGGCAGGUUGAAGGUUGGGUAACACUAACUGGAGGACCGAACCGACUAAUGUUGAAAAAUUAGCGGAUGACCUGUGGCUGGGGGUGAAAGGCCAAUCAAACCGGGAGAUAGCUGGUUCUCCCCGAAAGCUAUUUAGGUAGCGCCUCGUGAAUUCAUCUCCGGGGGUAGAGCACUGUUUCGGCUAGGGGGCCAUCCCGGCUUACCAACCCGAUGCAAACUGCGAAUACCGGAGAAUGUUAUCACGGGAGACACACGGCGGGUGCUAACGUCCGUCGUGAAGAGGGAAACAACCCAGACCGCCAGCUAAGGUCCCAAAGUCAUGGUUAAGUGGGAAACGAUGUGGGAAGGCCCAGACAGCCAGGAUGUUGGCUUAGAAGCAGCCAUCAUUUAAAGAAAGCGUAAUAGCUCACUGGUCGAGUCGGCCUGCGCGGAAGAUGUAACGGGGCUAAACCAUGCACCGAAGCUGCGGCAGCGAACGUAUCACCCAAGACAACUUUACGGAGUUGACGAUUGACGGAGCGAAGCGACGUCAAAGCGUUCAUUAAAGUCGAGUUGGCUUAGGGAUACGUUCGUUGGGUAGGGGAGCGUUCUGUAAGCCUGUGAAGGUGUGUCGUGAGGCAUGCUGGAGGUAUCAGAAGUGCGAAUGCUGACAUAAGUAACGAUAAAGCGGGUGAAAAGCCCGCUCGCCGGAAGACCAAGGGUUCCUGUCCAACGUUAAUCGGGGCAGGGUGAGUCGACCCCUAAGGCGAGGCCGAAAGGCGUAGUCGAUGGGAAACGGGUUAAUAUUCCCGUACUUGGUGUUACUGCGAAGGGGGGACGGAGAAGGCUAUGUUGGCCGGGCGACGGUUGUCCCGGUUUAAGCGUGUAGGUGUGUGUUCCAGGUAAAUCCGGUUCACUUUAACACUGAGGCGUGACGACGAGGCACUACGGUGCUGAAGCAACAAAUGCCCUGCUUCCAGGAAAAGCCUCUAAGCAUCAGGUAACAUCAAAUCGUACCCCAAACCGACACAGGUGGUCAGGUAGA
rnacentral:rRNA from 1 species